ACGCUCGACACCUACGGAGGCAGCAGUGGGGAAUAUUGCACAAUGGGGGAAACCCUGAUGCAGCAACGCCGCGUGAAGGAAGACGGUUUUCGGAUUGUAAACUUCUGUUCUUAGUGAAGAUAGUGACGGUAGCUAAGGAGCAAGCCACGGCUAACUACGUGCCAGCAGCCGCGGUAAUCUGAGGCGGGCUGGCAAGGC
rnacentral:rRNA from 1 species